AUACGGAGGGUGCGAGCGUUAAUCGGAAUUACUGGGCGUAAAGCGCGCGCAGGCGGCUGGGUCAGUCGGAUGUGAAAGCCCCGGGCUUAACCUGGGAAUUGCAUUCGAUACUGCCCGGCUAGAGUAUGGGAGAGGGAAGUGGAAUUUCCGGUGUAGCGGUGAAAUGCGUAGAUAUCGGAAGGAACACCAGUGGCGAAGGCGGCUUCCUGGCCCAAUACUGACGCUCAGGUGCGAAAGCGUGGGGAGCGAACAGGAUUAGAAACCCCAGUAGUCC
rnacentral:rRNA from 1 species